GUCUGUAUUUGUGUGCAUUGUUACAAAAUUGAUUAUUUUUCUCUUGUAAAGACUUGUAUUGGAAUAGUCAAAAACCUGUUUUUCUCAUCAGUCUCCUGCUCUUAGUGAUUAUAUCCUCUUUUGAUCUGCAUAUUGUCUUUAGUUUUUUUGUGUUAGUUCAAUAGGUACGCUUAAGCAAGAAUGGGUAUUGUAAAUGAAGAAGAGCGACCUGCUAGAUACUUCAAAAAAGAAAUUAGCCAAAAGAUGAGAGCUUUCUGCAACAGAGAGGAACAAACACAGGUAGGAAGGAAGGAAUAUAAAAUGUCCCAGGUGAUCUGAGGGACAUAAGAGUGUGAAUCUUCAUAUUAAGUCAAAAACUACUCUGCCGUACCUUUACAUUAAAUAUCGUUGAAAGAUUUUCAAAUAUUGUAUAACAAACAGUGAAGCGCCUAACCAAUAUAUUAAUUUCCUAAUAGAGUUUUAAUCCCCGGGGAUAAACUUGAUCAUAGGGAAUAUGCGGUGAAAAUCCAAUAAUCCUUUAAUUGAGUGGACAGCCGCCAUCUUGUAUUUUGAUACUAUAAAUUGGCGGGAAGACGCCACUUUGACAUCAGUUGCAUUUAAGUGUUACCAACAACAAGAUAUCACAGUUAAGAUGUCAGCAAUGAAGUAUGCAUUUGUCGCUGUCAUUUUGGCAGUUAUCUGCUUAGUUCAAGUUAGCGAAGCAAAUUACAAGACCGCUCCAAUGAAUGGUAUUAUGUUUGGCAAGAGAGGUCCUUCUGAAUAUGAGAACAGAGCCAAGGCAUUUACUGCCCUCUGUGAAAUUGCCACAGAAGCCUGCCAAACCUGGUUCCCUUCCCCGGAAAAUAAGUAGACGACUUGGAUAAUCAGGCUUAAUGUUACCAAAUAUAUUUAAUCGUAUUUAUGUAAUAGCAAAAUAAAAUUUUAUGGACUGACAA